CUGGCAGGCCUAACACAUGCAAGUCGAGCGGUAGCACAGAGAGCUUGCUCUCGGGUGACGAGCGGCGGACGGGUGAGUAAUGUCUGGGAAACUGCCUGAUGGAGGGGGAUAACUACUGGAAACGGUAGCUAAUACCGCAUAAUGUCGCAAGACCAAAGUGGGGGACCUUCGGGCCUCAUGCCAUCAGAUGUGCCCAGAUGGGAUUAGCUAGUAGGUGGGGUAACGGCUCACCUAGGCGACGAUCCCUAGCUGGUCUGAGAGGAUGACCAGCCACACUGGAACUGAGACACGGUCCAGACUCCUACGGGAGGCAGCAGUGGGGAAUAUUGCACAAUGGGCGCAAGCCUGAUGCAGCCAUGCCGCGUGUGUGAAGAAGGCCUUCGGGUUGUAAAGCACUUUCAGCGGGGAGGAAGGCGAUGAGGUUAAUAACCUUGUCGAUUGACGUUACCCGCAGAAGAAGCACCGGCUAACUCCGUGCCAGCAGCCGCGGUAAUACGGAGGGUGCAAGCGUUAAUCGGAAUUACUGGGCGUAAAGCGCACGCAGGCGGUCUGUCAAGUCGGAUGUGAAAUCCCCGGGCUCAACCUGGGAACUGCAUUCGAAACUGGCAGGCUAGAGUCUUGUAGAGGGGG
rnacentral:rRNA from 1 species